rnacentral:rRNA from 1 species
AGGGUGCAAGCGUUACUCGGAAUCACUGGGCGUAAAGGGUGCGUAGGCGGGUUGUCAAGUUCUGAGUGAAAUCCAACGGCUCAACCGUUGAACUGCUUGGAAAACUGGCAGCCUAGAGUGAGGGAGAGGCAGAUGGAAUUGGUGGUGUAGGGGUAAAAUCCGUAGAGAUCACCAGGAAUACCCAUUGCGAAGGCGAUCUGCUGGAACUCAACUGACGCUGAGGCACGAAAGCGUGGGGAGCAAACAGGAUUAGAUACCCUGGUAGUCCACGCCCUAAACGAUGAACACUAGUUGUUGCCCUGCACGUCAGGGCAGUAAUGCACCUAACGGAGUAAGUGUUCCGCCUGGGGAGUACGGUCGCAAGAUUAAAACUCAAAGGAAUAGACGGGGACCCGCACAAGCGGUGGAGCAUGUGGUUUAAUUCGAAGAUACGCGAAAAACCUUACCUGGCCUUGAUAUCCCAAGAAUCCUUUAGAGAUACGGGAGUGCUUGCUUGCAAGAACUUGGUGACAGGUGCUGCACGGCUGUCGUCAGCUCGUGUCGUGAGAUGUUGGGUUAAGUCCCGCAACGAGCGCAACCCUCGUGUUUAGUUGCUAACAGUUCGGCUGAGCACUCUAAACAGACUGCCUUCGUAAGGAGGAGGAAGGUGAGGACGACGUCAAGUCAUCAUGGCCCUUAUGGCCAGGGCUACACACGUGCUACAAUGGGUAGGACAAUGAGAUGCAAUACCGUGAGGUGGAGCAAAUCUAUAAACCUACUCUCAGUUCGGAUUGUUCUCUGCAACUCGAGAACAUGAAGCUGGAAUCGCUAGUAAUCGUAGAUCAGCAUUGCUACGGUGAAUACGUUCCCGGGUCUUGUACUCACCGCCCGUCACACCAUGGGAGUUGAUUUCACCCGAAGCCAGGAAGCUAGAAUAGCU